GCCAUUGCUAUUGGGAUCCGAUUUAGCCAUGCUAGUCGCACGGGUUUAGACCCGUGGCGAACAGCUCAGUAACACGUGGCCAAGCUACCCUAUGGACCGGAAUAAUCUCGGGAAACUGAGGCUAAUACCGGAUAUCGCUCGAUGCCUGGAAAUGGCUCGAGUUAGAAAGCUUCGGCGCCAUAGGAUGCGGCUGCGGCCGAUUAGGUAGACGGUGGGGUAACGGCCCACCGUGCCGAUAAUCGGUACGGGUUGUGAGAGCAAGAGCCCGGAGACGGAAUCUGAGACAAGAUUCCGGGCCCUACGGGGCGCAGCAGGUGCGAAACCUUUACACUGUACGAAAGUGCGAUAAGGGGAUCCCAAGUGCGAGGGCAUACAGUCCUCGCUUUUCUGUACCGUAAGGUGGUGCAGGAAUAAGAGCUGGGCAAGACCGGUGCCAGCCGCCGCGGUAAUACCGGCAGCUCAAGUGAUGGCCGCUAUUAUUGGGCCUAAAGCGUCCGUAGCCGGCCAGAUAAGUCCGUCGGGAAAUCCACCUGCUUAACAGGUGGGCGUCCGGCGGAUACUGUCUGGCUUGGGGCCGGAAGACCUGAGGGGUACGUCCGGGGUAGGAGUGAAAUCCUGUAAUCCUGGACGGACCACCGGUGGCGAAAGCGCUCUGGAAGGACGGAUCCGACGGUGAGGGACGAAAGCUCGGGUCACGAACCGGAUUAGAUACCCGGGUAGUCCGAGCUGUAAACGAUGCCUGCUAGGUGUGCCACAGGCUACGAGCCUGUGGUGUGCCGUAGGGAAGCCGUGAAGCAGACCGCCUGGGAAGUACGUCCGCAAGGAUGAAACUUAAAGGAAUUGGCGGGGGAGCAC
rnacentral:rRNA from 1 species